rnacentral:lncRNA from 1 species
AGGAAUCCCCUAGGAAGAACGUGAUAGAGCCUCAUCCUAAUCCGUCUCAAUCUUGCUAAACCAUCAGUUAAAGGCAUCAUGAUGAUUCAAGUUAAUAACCUAUAACUUCUCCAUGUCAUCCAACACAAGUAACACCAUUAUACUGGAUAUUCUUUAAGACUGUCUCACUCGUAAUCCCUACUUCAUUCAUAUGCUUUGCC